GAUGAAGAACGCAGUGAAAUGCGAUAAGUAGUGUGAAUUGCAGAAUUCAGUGAAUCAUCGAAUCUUUGAACGCACAUUGCGCCUCCUGGUAUUCCGGGAGGCAUGCCUGUUCGAGCGUCAUUAAAAUCACUCAAGCUUAGGUUUACCUAUUGCUUGGUCUUGGAGAUGGAAGCCAAUUCAUUGGAAUCCUCUUCGAAAUCCAAUGGCGAAGACCCUUGCUCUCCCAAGUGUAGUAAUAACUUAUGUCACUGAAGGAAGCGAUAAAUCUUCCGCCGUAACCCCCAUAUUUUCUAUGAUUGACCUCGGAUCAGGUAGGGAUACCCGCUGAACUUAAGCAUAUCAAUAAGCGGAGGA
rnacentral:misc_RNA from 1 species